GACUCUGGGAUAAGCCCGGGAAACUGGGUCUAAUACCGGAUAGGAGCGCCUGUCGCAUGACGGGUGCUGGAAAGAUCUUUCGGUCAUGGAUGGACUCGCGGCCUAUCAGCUUGUUGGUGAGGUAAUGGCUCACCAAGGCGACGACGGGUAGCCGGCCUGAGAGGGUGACCGGCCACACUGGGACUGAGACACGGCCCAGACUCCUACGGGAGGCAGCAGUGGGGAAUAUUGCACAAUGGGCGAAAGCCUGAUGCAGCGACGCCGCGUGAGGGAUGACGGCCUUCGGGUUGUAAACCUCUUUCAGCAGGGAAGAAGCGAAAGUGACGGUACCUGCAGAAGAAGCACCGGCUAACUACGUGCCAGCAGCCGCGGUAAUACGUAGGGUGCGAGCGUUAUCCGGAAUUAUUGGGCGUAAAGAGCUCGUAGGCGGUUUGUCACGUCUGUCGUGAAAGUCCGGGGCUUAACCCC
rnacentral:rRNA from 1 species